UUAAAAAUUGAUUUAAAGUACAAGAUCAUGCUACCUCAAAGAAUUGUAAAAUUUCCCUUUCAGCUAUUUCUCCUCAUAUAAAUAGAAUGGUCCAGCUCCACUAAAACUGUGUUUUGGAGCUAGCCUUGAAGAUACAAGAAGAGACCUGGAAGCUGGUGAUGGGACACUUUAACACCUCUAAACUUGCAAUACCCUCUCUCUCUUAGAGGGUUCUUUAUCUUUAGAAGAAGAUGAUGAUGAUCCUGCUGUAAUUCCAUUCAAGUUAUAAAUGCCAUGGAAAGAACCUCUUCAUGUGAAAAUGGAAGAGGAAACCUAGACCAAAUCCUCAGCCAAGAGGGGGUGAAUGGUGCAAUGUGAAGCAGUUAUUCACGUUCUACAGAAAACAUUCAGGUAUACAGGAAUCCUGAAUGAUUGAUUCAUGGAUUUUCAAAGAUGCACAGCCUGUUGAGAUGGAAGAAUUUUCCAGAGGAUCGGAAUUGUAUUCUGACACCAGCUUCCAGAUUCCUUGAUGCCUCUUCAGUCAUAGCUAUGUAGAAUAGACUUAAGUGGCCAAAAUUGAA